UCGGCAUUGACGGCAAAAGAUAUAAACACACCCUCAAUGACAUCACUCCCUCUAAUUCACAAGUGCUGUUUGGACAUUAGCACGCUCCACACCGUAACUUCGACAAGCAAUUUCUGCUAUCAUGCAUACAUUUAAAUUUUUUCUGAGUGGACAGAGUACCAUAUGUUGACUUAGGUGAACAUUUCUGGUUUGUGCAAUAUAUUUAGUUGCCGAGUUGAUCGAUUAGAUUUAGAUAGAAAGCGUCCAAAUACGAAGAAAAUUGCUGAGCCAUUAAACUGUUUUCUGGAGAUCAAAGUCACCAAGUAUUCUAUGGAGGGCUCGCAGAAUGGCGCCUGUACAGAAAUGAGUUGACUUUGUGUUGUUAUCCGGCUUGUUUAGUUCGUUGACCUAUUUGUGUUUAUUGAUCCAUAUUUAAAUGUUCUCAAUUCACAGUCAACAGGAGGUUGGAUGAGUGGGUUAAACUUGAACAACCUGCUCUCUCUCACGUUGCUCUUCACCUUUGUUUGAAUUCGUUUUGCAUCGUUUGGUAGAACCGGGAUGAAUUUUGAUUAAGUUGUUUGCCCUUUCUUUGUGUUGUGUUCAAUUUCAUCACUGAUUUCCUUGUUAGUACCACUACUUGUUUCUGCGACUAUUCUAAUUGCAGACGACGACAUCAGCAUCCCUACAGAUCUGAAGCGGCCCAUCCUUAAUGGUUUCUACCGCCAUAUCUACCAACCCCGACCGGAUUUAUCAUUGCAUGGGAUCUCUCCUUAUCCGACGCUCACUCUGACGCAUCUGGCAUAGGUAAGCCACUGGUUCCUCCUCUGGUCACCCUCAUGCUCCGUGUAACCAUGGCCACCGAGUUGUGAUGAUUUUUUUUGUACACGAAUGAGAUAAUUUAUGUGUUCCAAACAUUGUGCACAGAUCAUUCUUAUAUUUGCUUGAAUUGGGAAACCCAAUCAAAUCAUCUUCUUUUGUGCUUCCUAUUUGCUGAUCCAUCGUAUGGGUGUACUGUGUAUGUAUGUAAAGGAGAUGGAGAAAGAUAGGAGUUGUAGCUUUUAGAAAUCUUGGUAUUGAUGGGGAAAGAUAGUGAUCACAGUUUCUUUGUUGGAAAGUGUCCAAACUUUUUUUCCCGGAAAUAUAAAUAUGAAUAAAGACAUUGUAUUUCUGUUACCAAAUAAAAAUCAUCUCCUUUUGUGUUUUUUAUGGCUGAUCCAUUUUAUGGGUGUUUUGUGCUUGCAUGUAAAGGGAAUGGGGAAAGAUGGGAGUACUAGCUUUUAGAAACACAUUUACUUAUUGGAAUUCCAGUAUUAAUGGGGGAAGAUAAUAAUCACUGUGUCCAGGUUAGAAAGCUUCCAAUUACGAAGAAAAUAGCCAGAGCUAUUAAACAUUUUUCUGGAGAUUCAAUUCACCUAUUAUAUUUCUGUUCCUCCGAUACUGCUACGUUCUUUUCAUGAUUGGUAACUACAAGUGUUCCCUUUUUGAUUAACAGAAGUGAUUGCAAAGGAGCUGGAUGUGCAGGGCCAUGGAAUCCCGAUGACAGUGGCCAACAUCACCUACAUAGGCAUGAACGACCUCCAUGCUGUUGGCGGCCUUGGCACGCUACUGUUCUACCUUUAUCUCCUGGAGGUCAAGAUGGAUGUUGACAUUCCCAACACUGUUCAGGGUAAUUCAUUCAUUCAUGCCCCAUACUUGGCAUGCUAUUGUUCUAACUUUAUCUCCUGGAGGUCAAGAUGGAGGUCAAGGUGGAUCGGCAGGAGCUAGAAGUAAGGUUAUCUCCUUUUUCUUCCAUUCCGAAGAUGGUUGCCAUUUAUACAUUUCAAGUUAGUAGCUAUUCCAUUGUAUCACAAUAGAGAAGUAAUUUGGUUGCGUGAAAAACAUCUAGGUUUCUCACUGGAGCGGAACUCCUUUGCACGGAGUCUCAUAACGCAGACUCAUCCCUGAAAGCACUAUGACAGCACUCAGGUUCAAUCAUGUGUUGCCCCCUGAAGGUCGGUUGCGUGCUUGAUCAUCCUGUCACAUCACAUAUAUUCAUGUUGGCAUUGUGUGGGCCUAACAAAAAAUGCUUGGUUUGCUACAAUUUUAGGCUGCUCCUGUGUCCAGCCUUGCCAAUCAGGCCGGCCUCCACAUGCUGGAGGCGCCGCUGAUUGCUCUCCAGGUUCCCCAAGAUCAUGCAGCAGGUACUUAGCCAGCUACCAUUGUGAAUGAAUGGCAGACUCGCCCCCGGCUGUUUGUAACAAAACUGGAAGUUUGAAACUCUUGCUUUGUUCAUGGUUUGGCGUACCUACCCUGGCGGUGUGUGCGUGUUCUUGCAAAUAAGGUCUAUGGCCCAUUUACAUAUAUUUGAUGCUCUUAGAUGGACAUGAAAACACUUGCUUGUAGAUUUGGCGCCACUAUAUUUUAGGUCCAUGUUCUAACUGUCAAUAAUAUGGCACUACACUUGGUUUUAUCUCCUGUUUUUUAGAGUUCGAUGAAAAACUGCCACACCAAAGUUGGUUGCUUCUAGGUGCUAUUGUAUAGUGAAUGAUAACUGAUUUAUAGUCCUGAGAUGUUUAUUUGUGUUCUCUUCCCAAACAUAGCUACUGUUUUAAUUUUGAUUUGGUCGCUAUUAUGAUUGCUUAAGCUUCAUCAUGUUCCCUCUUCUUUUCAGAAAAAGAACAUUUAGCUUAUUCUUUGUGGUUGUCUAAUCUUCCAUAACCUCGGCUUGCGCAACCGUUGCAGUUGUCGUCACCUCUUCUUGGUUCAGGUGAGCCCUUGAUCUCCCUCCCUCUUUUUCACUGAGAUAGUCUGCCAAAUUUUGAAUGUUGAUUCAGUGUUCAGAUCUCCGGUGGUUUUCUUCUGGCCACCACAAUCAUGUGAGCUUGCUGGAUUUUUGUCCCUAUGAGCUGGCCGAAUUGAUUAUUUCAAAAUGGUAAGGAUUUUUGGCAGUCAAGGGCUUAGUUGGAUUGAAAAUGUGAAAUCUAAGCCCUUUGACAAAUUAAAUGUUGUCUCUCGACUAUGGAGCAAAAUUAUAUGAUUUGGUCUUUGUUUGUUAUCUUGUCACGUAGUUGGACGAAAUGGGAACUUCCCUAUCUGCUAAAUCGAGCACGCAUUGCAUUAGCUUCAUUGAGUAAGUGCCAUAUCGAGCGAAGCAGAGCAGGAGCUUGCUCUUGUCUUGGCGCUAUUUUUGGUACUGCUAUCGCGUCAUGUUUAUUUGGUUACGGUCACCAUUGAUGAACAGUUCAUCUACAGUUUGAAAUAAGUUCGGGUCAGAACACUGGUUUUUUUCCCUUGCAUUUUUGGUUCAAAAAGUACCAGUUUGAUUAGCUGCAGUUCGUAUUUGUACUAUAUAGAACACAUAUUAAUAAAUUAGCUCAAUGGAAUAAGCGCGUAACCAAGCUAAGGGUAGCAGGGCUUGCACUUGUCUUGUUGCUAUAUUUGGUACUGCGAUGGUGUCAUGUUCAGUUAGUUACUAUCACCAUCGAUCAACUAGAUUCCAUUUGCAUUUUGAAACUAGUUUUGAUAAAGAACACUGAUACCUGUAGUAUUUUUGGUUGAAAAAGCACCAGCAUGAUAGGGCAGUGGAGUUCUAAUUCUUGAGUGACACACUGUGACAGUGUGACCGCAUUAUGGAAUUUUUUUAACCUGUUAUGCCAAUGCCUCUUCACUGUUUGAUAUCUAACCGUGUACUUAUUUUGAUGUCCUUUGUAACAGAAUUUACCCAGAAAUGCCCUUUUAGCAUGGAAAAAUAAAUUUCAUUCUACGCUCUCAACUAUACAUGUAGUGAGAAUGAUGAACAUCUUUGUUCUUGUUGUUGUUGCCUACAGCACGUGCCACUUGGUCUGGUGCAGGGCAGGGUGAUGCAUGUGGCGUAGCUGCCCAGCAAGAUGGGCCUCGUCGACAAGAGGUGCAGGAAGGAACGAUCAUAUGGUCAUUGUUGUGAUUGCGGAUGCUCACCAAGAUCACAUCGCCCAAAGCAUGAAUUUCUGGACCUCACCAUCUAUUCCUCGGUCCAGGCAAGUUUGUGGUCUCCUCCUCCCCCCCUCUCUCUCUCUCNNNNNNNNNNNNNNNNNNNNNNNNNNNNNNNNNNNNNNNNNNNNNNNNNNNNNNNNNNNNNNCACACACACAGAGAUACACAUACACAUACGUGCACCCCUAGAUUGUCAGUCAUCUGAGUCGUGGUUGAUCGUGGUUCGGGCCAUCGAGCCAAUGAUUAGUGUUUGGAUCUACGGUGGCAUUCUUGUGUGACUGGUUGAUCAUCUUUCUUGUUGAUGAGACUGGUACCUUGUAUUUUUGUGCUGGGUCCUGUUUAGCACUUCAUGCUACACGGUUUGGUAAUGUCAUGCUUAGUUUUGAUAGAUAGGAUCCAUCCUUACUUAUUUUGGGAUUUUGACUUGUUGGUGGUUUGCUAGAAUCAAAUAGAAGAAAAUGCUUACUUGGUGUAGUGUGGCUGGUGCAUAGAUAGAUAGAACAAGUGCCAUCCUCGUGUACUUUUGAGGGAGCCAUCAUGUGUUGGCAAUAUUUAUGAUAAGUCGUGGAUGCUUUUGCCCAUGAAGAGUGGAUAUUAUUCUGGCUUUGGAACUACCUUUUUUAUCAGUCUAUUCAUGAUUGAGUCCAGACUUUUUUUUGGUUGUAUGAAAUGUUAGCCUGCAUUUGCUUAGGUUAGGACAACAUGUGUUUUGUGUUUUUCUGUAAACAAAUGUUUUGUGAUUUUUCAGAGUGAAUGUCUACUUGGGGUAACAACCUUCUUAACAAGAGCCUUUCUGGUCAAAUUCCACAAUCCUUGACAUAUUUGAUCUUGUAGGCGUCAAAAUUUUUGUGGCAUUGAGCCGUUAUACAAGUGCUGAGGUUAUUUGCAUUUUGUAAAAGCUAGCUUUUGGUUAUUUGUUAUGUUGCAUCGCUCUGCUGUUGGCUGAAAUGGUGUGUUGUGAGUGUCGUGUCCAAAGCAAAGCAAUUUGUCAAGUAGAGAGAAUAAUUUUUCUGGGCUGGCUUAUGAUCUUCGCCUAUACAAAGGGAUAGUGUAUUUGUUGGUUGGAAAAAGUGAUGCAUACCAUUGGUACUUUGCUUUUGUCAGGACCCCGACUCAAUGCCACAUCGAUCCAGCAUGUAACACUUCAUAUCACUUUGCGGCCUCACGCACGGUAUUCCCACGGGUGUCGCCUUACCUUUACCCGGGAUCGUUUGCGUCUUUUGGCACACGUAUAUGAUAAUGUCGCUAGCAUCCAUAUGAUAAGGAGCCCGGGCUGACAUGGCUAUUCGUAAACCCAAAGUGGCACAAACUUACAGGGACAGACAUCCAUGACCCAGCAUCGAACGUGUCGGUCAUCAGCGAGUGAAUCCAGGCUGUAGCACUGGGCUAGCAGGACUUCGGUGAACCAGGCUGUAGCGGGCUAACAGGACUCCGGUAUUCAUCGCGUGACAUUUCCCCGAAGGGACAGACACAGGAACGAAGAAGGACACAUGCCGGCCAGCCUAAGUGUUUCGGAGCAGUAGCAAGCUACCAUGGCUCGGUGGAAACACUAGGAGACAUUUCCCGGUAAGAGAGGCUACUAAAGAUAAACAACUAGAUAGUCAGAUCCCACACAUAUCAAGCAUUUCAAUAACAUACACACAAUAUGCUCGAUAUGUGCAAUACAACAUGGCAUCACAAAAUGACUCUACGACUCAAGUAGUUUAUUCAAUAGGCUUCGAGGAGCGAGACAUUACAAACAUGGGUCUCAUGACCCAACAAUCAGAGCAUACAAGUCAAAGCACAAGCGGAAGCUAUCAUGUCUGGGUACAGACAUCUAUAAAUGAAAAAGGCUGAGAAGCCUGACUAUCUAUCAGAUCCUGCCGAGGGCACAAGAUCGUAGCUGAGGUAACAAGCUAAACGUCGAAGUCCACGUGGAACUACUAGUGAGACUGAAGUCUCUCUGCAAAAACAUAAAAUAGGCAAACGUGAGUACAAAUGUACCCAGCAAGACUUACAUCAAAACUAACUACAUAUGCAUCAUUUUCAACAAGGGGAUGGUGGGGUUUAACUGCAGCAAGCCAGCUUUGACUCGGUGGCUAUCCUAAACUACGACUGCAAGCGACUCUUUUGAGGUGGCGCACACGAGUCCACAUAUUCACCAUAUCAAUACACCACUAUGGAUCCGCUCCCGUCUCCCUAUGAGAACGCCAUCCAUAGCACUCACGCUUAUCUUGCGUAUUUUAAAGUAUCCACUUUCACUUGUCUAUGAACUGAUAUAAACAACCAAGUAGUCCUUUACCGCGGACGCGACUAUUCGAAUAGAUCAUGAUAACCCUGCAGGGGUGUACUUCUUCAUACAUGUUUCCACCACUUAGCGUCUGCACACGACAUGUGCUCGGCAGACUUCAAGCUACCGCAACAAGUAACAGAUGAAUCGAUGUUGUCCUAAUGCAGUAAAAGAGAGCAGGAGCGAGAGAGUGGGAUUGUAUCGGAAUGAACAAGGGGGUUUUGCUUGCCUGGCACUUCUGAAGAUAAUAUUGAGUCUUCAUCAGUGUCAACGAUCACAUCAUCGGUAUCACGUCUAUCGAGAGGGGACAAAUACCGGCAACACAGAAGGGAACACAAUCAAUGCAAUGCACAAUAUGAUGCAUGAUCAUGACAUGGCAAAAUGAAUGUGUUUUGAGCCAAUGCAACUAGCAACAGAUUAAAUGAAGUUGGUUUGAAUACAAGAUUCAAAUUCAAACUCCAUAUGUGAUUAUUUAAAUGCCCUUUAUUUGAUUUGUGCUAAACAGCAACUAUAAGUUGUUCUAACAUGCAUGAAAAUGGUACAGAUGGAUUCCUUGAAUUUUACUGAUAAUUUUUCAUAUAUAAAUUAUUUAAUUUGGAGUUACGGUUGAAUUUCUAUGAAUUUUAGAAGUUUAUACAAUUUUCUGGAAUUUAUAAAUCAUUUCCUAAUUUAUUUUAAUUCCAGAAAGGAAUUAUUGCGUCAGCAUGACCUCAUCCUGACGUCAUCAGGUCAACAGGGCGGGUCCAGGUCAAACNNNNNNNNNNAGAUACCUGGUAUUUCUCUCCUUCCCCACUUUAAGCACAAAGAACAACUUCAGAGGCACAUUGUGCGCUUGCACUUAUUAUUUUUACUGUAUUGUCAGUUCGGUGUUUGUGAGAUAGGCAUUGCUAACUUGCAACUUGUGAACCGGUUUACUCCUUGUCUGUCUCUCUCGGCCCUUGUAUCUUGAUUUUACAUGUACCAGUAGACAUCACUUCUGUUAUUUAGAUACAAGUUUUGUGUUUGGACAUGUGAAUUUUCUCUCACUACUUGAAGGUUUCAUGUGGAAUUUCCGAGAGUACCAAACCAACUCCUAGUUUUUCACCCUUCUGUCAGUCCUUGUAUCUAAAUUAACUGCAACUAUUUUCUGCAAGGAACUGCAUUAAGCAAGAACACAAACCCCUGUCUCCACCACAUAUAUUUCUCAUUGUCAAAGGAAGGUCAUCUUUAGAAAUCUGAAGUCAUGGCUGCCUGUUAGGGUGUCUUUGGAUCCUAAGCAAUUGUAGUGUUAGCUUGCUUAGCAAGGAAAUCUGUUUGGUAAAAGCUAAACUAACCUGGCAAUUCCAUCUAGCCUGCACACGCUAGAAAAGCCUUGCCCCAGCAGGAGGGCCAAUUUGGCUCUCCGUUGGUAAUAAAUGAGUGGAAGAAAGAAAUCAAGGUAACUGCCACUGGAAUUGUGCUUAACCAAGGAGAUUGGUAGCUGAACCAAAUAGCUGGCUUUGCCCACGUAGGCUGUAGCUCAAAAGCCUUGGUUAGCUCGGCAUUGACGGCAAAAGAUAUAAACACACCCUCAAUGACAUCACUCCCUCUAAUUCACAAGUGCUGUUUGGACAUUAGCACGCUCCACACCGUAACUUCGACAAGCAAUUUCUGCUAUCAUGCAUACAUUUAAAUUUUUUCUGAGUGGACAGAGUACCAUAUGUUGACUUAGGUGAACAUUUCUGGUUUGUGCAAUAUAUUUAGUUGCCGAGUUGAUCGAUUAGAUUUAGAUAGAAAGCGUCCAAAUACGAAGAAAAUUGCUGAGCCAUUAAACUGUUUUCUGGAGAUCAAAGUCACCAAGUAUUCUAUGGAGGGCUCGCAGAAUGGCGCCUGUACAGAAAUGAGUUGACUUUGUGUUGUUAUCCGGCUUGUUUAGUUCGUUGACCUAUUUGUGUUUAUUGAUCCAUAUUUAAAUGUUCUCAAUUCACAGUCAACAGGAGGUUGGAUGAGUGGGUUAAACUUGAACAACCUGCUCUCUCUCACGUUGCUCUUCACCUUUGUUUGAAUUCGUUUUGCAUCGUUUGGUAGAACCGGGAUGAAUUUUGAUUAAGUUGUUUGCCCUUUCUUUGUGUUGUGUUCAAUUUCAUCACUGAUUUCCUUGUUAGUACCACUACUUGUUUCUGCGACUAUUCUAAUUGCAGACGACGACAUCAGCAUCCCUACAGAUCUGAAGCGGCCCAUCCUUAAUGGUUUCUACCGCCAUAUCUACCAACCCCGACCGGAUUUAUCAUUGCAUGGGAUCUCUCCUUAUCCGACGCUCACUCUGACGCAUCUGGCAUAGGUAA
rnacentral:lncRNA from 1 species